GGAACUUCCGCAGCUGCUUCAGCUGCUGCCAUCAGAUGGGUUUCAAAGGAUGGAAUUGGUGCCCUUGGACGCUUUUUCAUUGGUGGACGGUUUGGCAAUCUUUUUGAUGAUGAUCCCAAACAAUGGCGCAUGUAUGCAGAUUUCAUUGGUAGUGCAGGAAGUAUAUUUGAUCUCUGUACCCCUCUCUAUCCAUCUUAUUUCCUACCUUUAGCUUCUCUUGGAAAUCUUGCCAAGGCUGUAGCAAGGGGGCUAAAGGACCCUUCAUUCCGGGUUAUACAAAACCACUUUGCUAUCGCUGGAAAUUUG
rnacentral:misc_RNA from 1 species